rnacentral:lncRNA from 1 species
GGUGGAGUAAUAUAGCGGUAGAUUCUAAAGUAUGGUUGCUAAUUCUUUCUCUCUCAGAGAGUGGUGGUGGAUGUCUUCAUGAGUGGAGUAUGAGUGGAGGUCUUCGCUGGUGGAGUGUGUCUUCGUGAUUCUUGGUGAUGCUCUGGUUGUGAUCUGGUUGAUGUCGUAGUGUGGUGCCUCCAAUGCUUCACCCGGGUACCUCCUUUUAUAGUCGCGGCAGAGGCUUCUGGAGUUGCUUCGAGCUCUUCAACUAUUCUUCUCUUCUUUUGCCUGGACACUUGGACGGCUCCCCGCUCCUCAAUAAUUGUCCUGGGUACAGUAGAGUUGCUGUUUAUUCUUUUUGCCUUGUCCUCUAUCGCGCACUGUCUUCUCGUGAUAUUCUGGAUGCUGCUUGGUAUGGUCUUCCACGCCCGAAUGAUUGACGUCGCAGACUUCAAUCAGAACAUCAUGGCAUGUAGUAUUAUUCUGCCCCGGCCGAAUUGUUGUUAACACGUUAACAACACUGGAGACUUAUUUCCUUGUGUGACAAAGUAUUCUUUUGUCCAAGCUGUAUUUCUAUUCUUCUUCUUCAAUAUCCGGUUCCUCUGGUUGCCACAGUUCAUACCAUGACAGUAAUUCACGAUAUUCUUUUCUUAACUGGCAUUCCAUUCCAUAAUUUGGCUUGAGUAGCCUUCCUACUUCUUUUGAUAUUAUACUAUUCCUUUCAUAAUAUUCUCGUAGAAAUAUUUUUGUUAUUUUGUUUUGAUACAUCAUAUGGUACUCAGUAUUGAAUUUAGUAUUUCCUUCUAUUUCUUUUGCUUCAUUGAAAAUUCUCCAAUUAUCAUGAUUAUUUUUGGCACGUAUUUCUUCAUAAUUGUACCAUGUUUCUGAAGACCAUAUUGUAGGGAAUUUAUACGAACCUUUUAUAAUAUAUAUAUCAUGACUUGCUGGUCUUAAUGGUAGUGUAAAUUUUGGUGGGUUAGAAAAGUAUUUUAUUUUAUAUUUUCCUUGGACACACGCCAAUCUUUUACAUGCUUCUUUAAUAGCCUUUCCUAAAUCAGAUUGAUGUAUUUCUUCCAAUGUUCCAUAAAUAUCUCGGACUAACCCGUGAUCAAUAAUAGUUUGUAAAGAAAUAUCUUCUCCUGUAUGCCUUUGUAUGUUUGUAAAAUAUUUUAGGUUUAUAUCAGCCUUAAGUAUUAUAAAUUUAUGAUGAGGCUUAACAAUUAACUUAUCAUCAAGAUGAAGCAAAGGAAAGGUAUUUAUAGUAACUAUUAUUCCCAAAUUCCUUUUUAUACCUUGAUAUAGCCUCAUGAAGUAAUUUUGUAUAUCAUGAAAUGUUUUGUACUGCCUUUCAGCAUAUUUCUUCCAUAUUAGAUCUAUAAUAUCUUGUGUAAAAUAUGCCAGUACUUGUUCAGUCUUAAAACUUAUCCUAGGGAUAAGAAACUCGUGUGGAGUAUUGACUAAAUAUUUAUUAUUUCUUUUAUCAUUUGAAGAGUCCUCCUUCGGACUGAUCUUAUUUUCCUCAUACUUUGUAUUAAAUACAUUCUUGUCACUUUGUUGUUCUAAACAUGAUCUACAUGCCUGUUUUAUACAUAAACUGCAAGUAGCCCUUUUUCCUGGAUCUUGAUAGUAUAUACAAAAUACACAUUUAUAUUAACGUCAUCUCUUUUAUGAUCCCGAAUUAUUUGAUCCAUCAUUUCUAUCUUUAACCCUGCUAGUUCUUCAAUCAAGUUUGUCUCUUCAUCACUCGAUUCAUCUUCUUCAUUAUAUUCAAUUUCAUCUGUUUCUAUUAUUGAAUAUAUAGAUUCAUCAUCCAUUAUAUCAUCAUCACAUACCAGAAUAUUUUCGUUAACACUAUCUAUAAUUAACACCCUUUCUUGCUCUUCUUGCUUAUUAGAAUAUCUCUUCUUAUCUUUAUUAGGACAAGUUUUACUUAAAUGAUCUGGAGAAUUACAAAUAAAGCAUCUACAUGUACUAUCAUAAUUUUUUCUAGGAUUGUAUCUUCUUACAUUUCUCUUGUGAAGAAAAGGAGCUCUAUUAUCUGAUCUUCUUAGGAAAUAUCUUUUCUUUGUCUUUACAUUUCCCUUCUUAUAAUUUUUAGGGUAUUUCUUAUUUCUAUAUUUCUCUUCUCCAUAUGUCAAUGGUAUUUGAACUAUUUUAUUACAAAAGUUGUAAUCUGAUUGCUUCAUUGACCUUUGAGCUUGUAUGCUUGUGCAUAUUUUUCUUAGUUGCUUAAAAACAAAUGUUAUAGCCUGAGAAAUAUUAUAUUUCCCUUCCAUUAGAUUCCUUUUUAUAUUCUUCAAAUAUCAUGGAUCCUAAAGGAUCUGGUAGUUUAUUAAAAUAUCUUUCAACUAUACUCUUAUUAUAGCCUUGCUUAGCAGUUGUGGCGUUAUACAAAUAAUGCUGAGAGAACUCUUUUAUUCCUUUCCAAUUUGUUAAAGUCAAUUUCUCUAUUUCCUUCAAUCUUUCAUUUUGUAAUGCAGUAUAACCUAAUUCUGGAUCUUCAUCUAUAACAAUACUUGAUAUGAUAUUUGCAAAAUUAUAAGGGUUGCUACCAGCUCUUUUUAAUUCUUCAUAAUAAUGAGGAUAAGUUUCUACCCAUUGUUCCCAUAGAACUUUAACUGAUUCUCCUAAGAAUGUUUCUAAAUAUGUAAUCAUAUCUUCUACUCUACUUCCAAUAUUAUGCUGAUUUUGUAUAUAUUUUUGGACUAUUAGGCUUUUCCAUAUGCUUAUAAUAUUUGGCCAAUCAAUAGGAUCGUGUGCUGCUAAAUUUAAUAUUGCACCAUCGCUUCUAUAAUUCUGAAAUUGCACAGUCCUUUCAAACUCUCUUCUUUUUGAACCCACAUGCUUAUAUUGUCCAGGUAUAUAGGUAUAUGUAGGCUCUUCCUUUUCUGGUGGCCAAUUACCUGGUUUUCUAGAUGGUCUAUCCGUUUCUCCUUCAAUUUUUAUAUCUCUCUCUUGUUCUCGUCUUCUUUUAGAUGGACUUGGAUCUAUAUCCAUGGCUUCUAUAGCAGUAUCUUUAUUGUAUAAUUCUUCAUUUCUUAAAGAAAGAAUAUGUGAAUCUGACUUACUAUUAUGUAUUUCAAUUAUAUCUUCAUCCUCUUCUUCAUAACUUUCUAAUAAAAUUUUAUUAUUGAUCUCCCAUUGAUCUUCUUCACUUAUAACAACCUCUUCUUUUUCCUUUACCAUUUCUUUAUUAUUCUCUAAUUCUUUCUGAAUCUUACUAUUUUUAUCACUUACAUGUUGCAAAGUAGGUUCAUGUUUUAUUAUCGGCAUGUUGAUCUUUUUUUUAUUUGACUCUCUUUCUUUCUUAAUUUUAUUAAGUCUAUAUAAUUCUCGUCUGAAAUAUAGCUCUUUUUCUCUAAUAGCAGACCAUUCACAUAUCAUAGAGGUAUUAUAUUCAUCUUGAACUUUACUUAGUUUUUUCUCAUAGUGCUUUAUUUCAUUAUCAAUAUCUAAUUUUUUCAUGAAUUCACAUACACUAUGUCUUCUAGCUUCCCCUAUGUUCGACUCAGAAGUUGAAACUUCUAAAUCAUCUAAACUUCUUUCUUUGUAAUUAACAAACCUGAUACUAGUUUUGCCUUUACUAUUUUCAUAGCUUACAUAAUCUUUAGGUUGUUUUAAAAUCUUCGGUUCUAUUAAAGCACUUAUAUUCCAUUCUUCACCUGCUCUUUCUUCAGAACUAAUUUUUAAAGGACUCAUGAAUUUUAUUCCCUUAGACUGCAUACUUUCUAUUACAUUGUUUACAUUUACCUUGUAUUUAGUUGCACUUCUAUUAGUUAACCUUCCUACAAAUUCUAUACUUACUAAUAAAUUUGUACCUUUAAAGUUUUCAUAGCCUUUGGUCUGAAAACCAAUUGCCAUUUUAUCUAUAAAUUCUUUUAUUGGCAUUAUUAAAUCUGGAGCUAUGUAUGUUAUUAACAUAUUUUCAUUCAUAUCUUCUUCUAGGAAACCCAAUGCUGCUUUAUUCACUGAAUCCCAUCUUUUAUCGAGGGCGAGGGAAUGAGCGACUCCGAAAAAUUUCGGAUUUCAAAUUUCGAGUUACUAUUCAUAGUACUAUUCAAAUUCGGCGAACACUAUUCAAAUUCGCGGCACUAUUUAAAUUCAGCUCACUAUUCAAAUUCGGGAAUAUGAAUAGUGCCCGAGCACUCACCGGGAGUGGAUGGAGCACCUAUGGGUGGCGGCACUAUUCAGCCACUAUUCACUCACUAUUACGCACUAUUGAGCUACUAUUCGGAGUCGCAUUCAGGGGAUACGAGCACGCGCGGGUGCGUGAUUAGGUAUAUUCCUUAAUUAAGUCUAUUCUCAGGAUCUUUACGGGUUGGCGAGACCGAAGAUUCAGCCGAACGUGCUGCUAUGCUUGUGACAGUCCUACUCGGUACUCACCGCAUGCCUCGCUGGCUCGCUUCAGAACCAGGCCAGCCCGGCCUGCAGCCUCACCGUCCCCAGCCACGCUCACACAGGACUCAGGCUCUACCGUCUCCCCACGUAGUUCCACCCGAAGGGAACACUUCUCUGCGCACACAGGGUUCUCCUCAAACGCCGCUACCAGGGCUAACACGAGAACGACACACGCAGAGGUUUCUCCUCUAGGGUCCCUAGCGUAGAGACAUCGCCCCAUAAGAACGAGCUUAAAGGAAGGCAGGGAUGCUACCAGGACAGCUUAAUCCAUUUCCACGGGUCAAGCUUACAUGUGGCUUUCCCUUUCGGGAAACCCCAAGCACUUAGCACAAACCUUGAUUACCUUACAAACCGAGGGACGAGCUCCAACGGCCUCCCUUUAUUCUAGUGGUGGUAGUACAGAGGUGGAGUAAUACAGCGGUAGAUUCUAAAAUAUGGUGGCUAAUUCUAUCUCUCUCAGAGAGUGGUGGUGGAUGUCUUCAUGAGUGGAGUGUGGGUGGAGGUCUUCGCUGGUGGAGUGUGUCUUCGUGAUUCUUGGUGAUGCUCUGGUUGUGAUCUGGUUGAUGUCGUAGUGUGGUUAAGGCUUCUGGUUCCUUCAACUAUUCUCCUCUUCUGUUGCCUGGACACUUGGACGGCUCCCCGCUCCUCAAUAAUUGUCCU